rnacentral:rRNA from 1 species
UACGGAGGGUGCAAGCGUUAUCCGGAUUCACUGGGUUUAAAAGGUGCGUAGGUGGGCUGGUAAGUCAGUGGUGAAAUCCCCAAGCUUAACUUGGGAACUGCCAUUGAUACUAUCAGUCUUGAAUACCGUGGAGGUUAGCGGAAUAUGUCAUGUAGCGGUGAAAUGCUUAGAUAUGACAUAGAACACCAAUUGCGAAGGCAGCUGGCUACACGAAUAUUGACACUGAGGCACGAAAGCGUGGGGAUCAAACAGG